rnacentral:rRNA from 1 species
GACGAACGCUGGCGGCGUGCUUAACACAUGCAAGUCGAACGAUGAACUUGGAGCUUGCUCUGGGGGAUUAGUGGCGAACGGGUGAGUAACACGUGAGUAACCUGCCCUGGACUCUGGGAUAACUUCGAGAAAUCGGAGCUAAUACCGGAUAGGACCUUGCACCGCAUGGGGUGGGGUGGAAAGUUUUUGGGUUUGGGAUGGACUCGCGGCCUAUCAGCUGGUUGGUGAGGUAAUGGCUCACCAAGGCGUCGACGGGUAGCCGGCCUGAGAGGGUGACCGGCCACACUGGGACUGAGACACGGCCCAGACUCCUACGGGAGGCAGCAGUGGGGAAUAUUGCACAAUGGGCGCAAGCCUGAUGCAGCAACGCCGCGUGCGGGAUGACGGCCUUCGGGUUGUAAACCGCUUUUAGUAGGGAAGAAGCCUUCGGGUGACGGUACCUGCAGAAAAAGGACCGGCUAACUACGUGCCAGCAGCCGCAGUAACAC